rnacentral:lncRNA from 1 species
AAUUCAUAAUUUUUUUUUAGACAUACUUUGUUUUAGAUUUAUAAAGGCUAAAAACUCACAAGUACAUUAUUUGUAAUAAUUAACCUGAUUAUUGUUUUUUGUCAGGUUUACUGUUCAGUAAUAAAUGUAGACAAGCUUAGAGUUUAGCUAACAGUAUUGUAUGUCAAAAAAACAUUUCAUGCUUUGUCAUGUCAAAUAGAUUGAUGACAAUUUCUACAGGAUAUGUAAAAGGAAAAACAUGUAUUUUAGGUCUUAUUUGCCCCCGAAAGUUCACUAAAAGCAUAAAAUCGUAUGAUUAUCAAUCACAAAUUUAAAAACUUCAGAUCAAAAGUUUUAAGAAUAUGUUAGUAAUGACAUUAUAAUAAUGAUAUAUUCUGAUAGUGACAUCAUCAAAGAGAUAUGUCAGUCUUUUAGCAAAAGUAGGCGGAUUACAGGAAUAAUCAGCUAAAGUAACAGAUCGUGUAAACGCAAAACAAACUUCCAGUCUUUUCCAUGUUUUUGGAUUGUUUAGUGCUCUAUAUUAUUUCUAUGUACAAGUUGAAACAAGUUUUGUGUAAAUGUGACGUUUUACUUAAUUAAGACUGGCAUUUCAUGGCUGUGUUAAACACAUGAAAAUGAAUAAUUUACAACUAAAGCUGCAAGGUUUCAUAUCAUGUCAAAAUAAUCUAUUCCCUUUGUACAAAAGCCAACAUGUAAAGCAAGCUUUGUUAAUGCUAGUUCUGACGGUAACCAGACAAUGUGUCACUUAAUUUAACUUACUUUAUUGACUAAAAGCUGCCAAGUUUUUUCUUUAUCUCCUAAAUACUGAGUGCUUAGCAGAGAAGAUGUCAAAUUCAUAUUUAAUCAUGUGUAAAGAGAUUUUUUUUUAAAAGUGAACAGAUUAAUUAAGAUGCAGACUGAAAGUUAUUAUGUACCUAUCAUAUCAGUAGUUUUUUGCUAGUUUUAUAAGCCUAAUAUAUAUAAAAAAAUGUAUUUGUACGUUUGUAAUGUAGUGAUCGUCAUUGUAUCCUUGUAUUAAUUUUGGAAACAAAUAAACUAAAAAAAGACUGGUUUAUGUUAAGGGACUGUUUCCUCUAUGAAACAUUUUUUAGAAACAUAUACCGGUAUAUAUAUAUAUAUAUAUAUAUAUAUAUACUCAGUAGUCAUGCAUCUUUAUUAACAUGAUUAUGGUUACACACUGUGUGAAUACUGAUAGAGCAGAAGGAUUGCCAUUAGUCUGUAGUGAUUUAAACAUGAUAUGCAUUAUGUUAAAUUUAGUCAAAAAAAAAAUUAAAUAUAAGAACAUGCCAAAUUUAUAGUAUUUUCACAAAAUUUUAGGAUAGAGAACACAAAACAUUAAAUCAUAUUGAAACAGGUCAUCAUUUUCAUAUUUAUUUUUUCUGGUUUACUUUUGUAUUUCAGACUUUCUAUUUAUUUUAACGGAUUAUUGUUUUAGAAAAUUAAAUUCAAAAUUCGUUCUUUUAAAAUAAGUAUCACAAACACAUUUUUCUCAAUUUCCAAUUCAAUGAGUUGUGGCACUGAAAUUUUAGAUUUGGGUUAGCACUAUUUUAACAUCUGAAUUUUUCACAGAACAUAACAUGAUGAUUUUGUAUGCCAUGAAUAGAGACUAAUAUAUUACAACUCAUAAACAAAGGCUUAUCUGUCUGUAACUGGAGUAAAAAUGAUAGUAGUUCAAAUGUGUAAUUAGAUCAUAGUUGUUUAAAUAUAAUUAGAAAUUACUCAGAUGUUAUAUUUCUUUUUGUAAUCACAGGAUUCCACCCAUAGUAGAUGAUCAUUAUAUGUGCAAUAAGAUAUUGUUUUGCAUCAUGUAUAUUUAUAGAAAACACUUCUGGUGUAUUCAAAGAAUAAAUUCUCAAAAGAA